UACGGGGGGGGCAAGCGUUGUUCGGAAUUACUGGGCGUAAAGGGCCAGUAGGCGGCCAACUAAGUCGGAUGUGAAAUCCCCAGGCUUAACCUGGGAACUGCAUCCGAUACUGGAUGGCUUGAAUUCGGGAGAGGAUGCAGAAUUCCAGGUGUAGCGGUGAAAUGCGUAGAUAUCAGGAGGAACACCAAUUGCGAAGGCAGCUCGCUGGGACGUUACUGACGCUGAGGAGCGAAAGCGUGGGGAGCGAACAGG
rnacentral:rRNA from 1 species